UGGGCGGUAUGGUGGUACAUUUGGUUAUCAUUGUGCUUUAUUUAAAUUGUGGAGCUGCAUCAAACAAACUUUGGCAUUCUUAUCAAUUUGGAACGGGAGUAGGAAAUAGAGAAGAAUUGGUAAUAACAGAUUUAAAAUUAAACAGUCAUUUUAAUUAUGGAAAUAAUGUGACAAAGUGGAGAAGUAUAUCAUUAAAUGACAAAAGUUACGCGGUUGGGUACACAACAUCUCAAGUUAUUUUAAUUACUACAAAAUUAAAUCAAGAUAACGGAUUUAACCUUUCUUCAAACAUUAUAGAAUAUAAUGAUACAAUUUGCGAUGCAAUUGUAAUGGGAAAAUGGAAUACAAAUCUAGGACAGUACGAACUCAUUCUUGUUACUGCAACUGAAUCAAACUUUAUUACUCAACUUAAGUGGUUCCAAAUUGGAAAAGAAACUAACACGCACCUGUGGACAUGGAAAUUGCAUGAGAAGGUACUCUAUUUAAGCCAAAAAGAAAUUCACGGUACCACUAAAUUAUUU